UUCCAGGAGUUCCUUCCCUCCUUGAACAGGUGGGUCACUGGAGCAGGGAGUCGGGAACGAGCCCCGGGUUAUCAAUUCAGUGUUUCUGUCCCUGUGUCCCGGAAUUGUCUACCUUGGCCCAAGUCCAGAAAGGAUCUUUCAACAUGGUAUCUCCUUGGCCCUGUGCUCGCUCUUCUUUGGGGUACACUGCAGGGGAGUCUCUCAGUAAACAUCCUUCCUUCAUUCGGUAACCACGUGGUAGCAUUUUCUAUGCCCAGAACUGUAAUCUGCGAAGAUGAAUAAACAAGCGAGGUCACUCUUCAGCUGGACCUUGAAAGGUGACUGGAAUUGAUUUCUGCAGUGGAGAAAAGCGCUGCGUUCUGACCUCCUCGUUGCCAUCAACCACGCACGCCUGCGCCCCGCCUUAGCCAGGUGAACGGGGCGUGGAAAGCUCUAGAGGAAGAGCCAGGGGCCCCAGUGGCCCACCUGAUGGGGCUGAGGAUGCAGGGAGCAUUAGGGGGACUGAGCAGGGGUCUGGGGCUUGGGGCUUCUGGAAAUGAAUGGGGGCUGUCGAUCAAGCUAUAAGAGGUGUGGGGUUCUGAGGAGGAGGGGGUGGCUUGGAGGAAGAGUUGGGGUGCUCUGGGGAGUGAGGGUCUCUGAGGACCGAGGGCUUUGAGGAGAAGGGGGCCCUGAGGAGGAGCAGGAACUCUGAGGAGAUGCGAGUGGGGCUGAAGGAGGCGUGCACCGCGCGAGAUGUGAGGGAUGGGGGCCUCUGGCUGGAGCGGAGCCAGCGCUGCCCUCUCUCAAGGGGAAGGAGGGCGCUUAUGAGAAGUGCCGUUGCCUCGGCAACCCCAAACCCAGUCCAAGCCCGGAGAGGGGGAAGUUCGGGGCGAGUCCCGGGGGCGGUGCGUGGCGCCGGUUGGCUGACGGAGAUGAAGGGGCGUGUCUGUAGGCGGUGCAAUACACGGGUUGGCUGGCGAUAGCGGCGGUGGGCGUGGCUUAGGCGCGAGCGAGAGCGGGCGCGGCGCUCAGGCAGCGGCGGUUGGCUGCGGCGCCAGUGGUAGUGCUCCAGGCUCGACGGCACCCUCACAGCGCCCGCCCGGCCCUGCCGCUCAUGGCCGCCCCGCCGCGCCCCGCGCCAUCGCCCCCCGCCCCGCGGCGCCUCGACACGAGCGACGUCCUGCAGCAGAUCAUGGCCAUCACCGACCAGAGCCUGGACGAGGCACAGGCCAGGUGCUGCCCGCGGGCUCGGCAGGGGCCACGCAGGGUCGUGGCAGUGAGGUUGGCGGGCUGAGGGGACGGGGCGUGGAGGCCAGACUGACGAGGGGCGCUUGAGGAGGGCUGGAGGGGGGUCCCGAGGACGAAGGGAUGUAUGGGGUUCAAACGGAACGGGCUGGAUAGGCCUUAUGGGGCCGAGCAGUGGCGUGAAGGAUUUUCAGCAGCUCAUCUUGGGGCGAGAAGGUUGGGUUUAGGGGUUUAGGGAGUAGGGCUGAGAAAUGGGCACGUACGGGACUUUUGACGAGUGAAUGACUAAAUGGGUACGUUAAUGGGACUCCUGCGGCUGGAAGUUUUUUUGUUGUUGUUUGACACGGUCUUGCUCUGUCGCCCAGGCUGGAGUGCAGUGGCGUGAUCAUGG
rnacentral:lncRNA from 1 species